GGGGAUUUAGCUCAGUGGUAGAGCACUUGCCUAGCAAGCUCAAGGCCCUGAGUUCAGUCCCCA
rfam:Rattus norvegicus chromosome 7, whole genome shotgun sequence.